rnacentral:rRNA from 1 species
AAUAGAUACCCCGGUAGUCCACGCCGUAAACGAUGAGUGCUAAGUGUUAGAGGGUUUCCGCCCUUUAGUGCUGCAGCUAACGCAUUAAGCACUCCGCCUGGGGAGUACGGUCGCAAGACUGAAACUCAAAGGAAUUGACGGGGGCCCGCACAAGCGGUGGAGCAUGUGGUUUAAUUCGAAGCAACGCGAAGAACCUUACCAGGUCUUGACAUCCUCUGACAACUCUAGAGAUAGAGCGUUCCCCUUCGGGGGACAGAGUGACAGGUGGUGCAUGGUUGUCGUCAGCUCGUGUCGUGAGAUGUUGGGUUAAGUCCCGCAACGAGCGCAACCCUUGAUCUUAGUUGCCAGCAUUCAGUUGGGCACUCUAAGGUGACUGCCGGUGACAAACCGGAGGAAGGUGGGGAUGACGUCAAAUCAUCAUGCCCCUUAUGACCUGGGCUACACACGUGCUACAAUGGAUGGUACAAAGGGCUGCAAGACCGCGAGGUCAAGCCAAUCCCAUAAAACCAUUCUCAGUUCGGAUUGU